rnacentral:rRNA from 1 species
CUGAGGCUAACACCCCAUAGUCCUAGGACGCUGGAAUGCCCCUAGGAUGAAAACUCAGGUGCCUGAGGAUGGGUCUGCGGCCUAUCAGGUAGUAGUGGGGGUAACGGCCCCACUAGCCGACGACGGGUACGGGCCUUGAGAGAGGUUGCCCGGAGAUGGACUCUGAGAUACGAGUCCAGGCCCUACGGGGCGCAGCAGGCGCGAAAACUACGCAAUGCACGCAAGUGCGACGUGGGAACUCCAAGUGCUUGGACGUUUCGGCGUUCAUGCUUUUCUCAUGCCUAAAAAGCAUGAGGAAUAAGGGCUGGGUAAGACCGGUGCCAGCCGCCGCGGUAAUACCGGCGGCUCAAGCGGCGAUCGUUGUUAUUGGGUCUAAAGCGUCCGUAGCCGGCCAGGUAAAUCCUUAGAUAAAUCGAACAGCUCAACUGUUCGGCCUCUUGGGAGACUGCUUGGCUUGAGACCGGGAGAGGUUAGAGGUACUUCUGGGGUAGGGGUGAAAUCCUGUAAUCCUGGAGGGACCACCAGUGGCGAAGGCGUCUAACUUGAACGGGUUUGACGGUGAGGGACGAAGGCCAGGGGCGCAAACCGGAUUAGAUACCCGGGUAGUCCUGGCUGUAAACGCUGCGGGCUUGGUGUUGGGGGUCCCGUGUGGGCACCCAGUGCCGAAGAGAAGUUGUUAAGCUCGCCACCAGGGGAGUACGGUCGCAAGACUGAAACUUAAAGGAAUUGGCGGGGGAGCACCGCAACGGGAGGAGCGUGCGGUUUAAUUGGAUUCAACGCCGGACAACUCACCAGGGGCGACCGCCGGAUGAGGCUCAGCCUGACGAGCUUGGCCGAUAGGUGGAGAGGUGGUGCAUGGCCGUCGUCAGUUCGUACCGUAAGGCGUUCUCUUAAGUGAGAUAACGAACGAGACCCUCGCUUUUAAUUGCUAUCGCAUCCUCCGGGAUGCGAGCACAUUAACGGGACCGCCGCUGCUAAAGCGGAGGAAGGUGGGGUCAACGGUAGGUCAGUAUGCCCCGAAUCUCCUGGGCUACACGCGCGCUACAAAGGAUGGGACAAAGGGUUCCAACGCCGAAAGGCGACGGUAAUCCCGAAACCCGUUCGUAGUUCGGAUUGAGGGCUGUAACUCGCCCUCAUGAAGGUGGAUUCCGUAGUAAUCGUAUGUCAACAACAUACGGUGAAUAUGCCCCUGCUCCUUGCACACACCGCCCGUCAAACCAUCCGAGUUGGGCUAGAGUGAGGGCGUUCAUUAUUGGGGCGUUCGAACUUUGGUUCGGCGAGGAGGGUUAAGUCGUAACAAGGUA